AAGUCGUAACAAGGUUUCCGUAGGUGAACCUGCGGAAGGAUCAUUACAGUGUUUCCCUGCCCUUUGGGGUAGGAUCGCCACCCUUGAUUAUUUAUGAGUGUUGCUUUGGCGGGCCUCGCGGCCUGGCCGCGCCCCGGCUUCGGCGGGGGAGCGCCCGCCAGAGGAUUCUACAAACCUGAUUAUUAGUGUCGUCUGAGUACUAUAUAAUAGUUAAAACUUUCAACAACGGAUCUCUUGGUUCUG
rnacentral:misc_RNA from 1 species